rnacentral:rRNA from 1 species
UCGGGUGGAGUGGCAGACGGGUGAGUAACGCGUGGGAACGUACCUAUUGGUUCGGAAUAUUCUCGGGAAACUGAGAGCAAUACCGAAUAAGCCCUGAGGGGGAAAGAUUUAUCGCCAAUAGAUCGGCCCGCGUUAGAUUAGGUAGUUGGUAGGGUAAUGGCCUACCAAGCCUACGAUCUAUAGCUGGUCUGAGAGGAUGAUCAGCCACAUUGGGACUGAGACACGGCCCAAACUCCUACGGGAGGCAGCAGUGGGGAAUAUUGGACAAUGGGCGCAAGCCUGAUCCAGCCAUGCCGCGUGAAUGAUGAAGGCCUUAGGGUUGUAAAAUUCUUUCAACGGUGAAGAUAAUGACGGUAACCGUAGAAGAAGCCCCGGCUAACUUCGUGCCAGCAGCCGCGGUAAUACGAAGGGGGCUAGCGUUGUUCGGAAUUACUGGGCGUAAAGCGCACGUAGGCGGGCUGAUUAGUUGGUGGUGAAAUCCCAGAGCUCAACUCUGGAACUGCCAUCAAUACUGUCAGCCUGGAGCAUAGUAGAGGUUAGUGGAAUUCCAAGUGUAGAGGUGAAAUUCGUAGAUAUUUGGAGGAACACCAGUGGCGAAGGCGACUGACUGGG